rnacentral:rRNA from 1 species
GUCUGGGAUACCACUUGGAAACAGGUGCUAAUACCGGAUAACAACAAUAGCUGGAUGGCUAUUGCUUAAAAGGCGGCGAAAGCUGUCGCUAAAGGAUGGACCCGCGGUGCAUUAGCUAGUUGGUAAGGUAAUGGCUUACCAAGGCGACGAUGCAUAGCCGAGUUGAGAGACUGAUCGGCCACAUUGGGACUGAGACACGGCCCAAACUCCUACGGGAGGCAGCAGUAGGGAAUCUUCCACAAUGGGCGAAAGCCUGAUGGAGCAACGCCGCGUGAGUGAAGAAGGUUUUCGGAUCGUAAAGCUCUGUUGUUGGUGAAGAAGGAUAGAGGUAGUAACUGGCCCCUAUUUGACGGUAAUCAACCAGAAAGUCACGGCUAACUACGUGCCAGCGGCCGCGGUAAUACGUAGGUGGCAAGCGUUGUCCGGAUUUAUUGGGCGUAAAGCGAGCGCAGGCGGAAAGAUAAGUCUGAUGUGAAAGCCCCCGGCUUAACCGAGGAAUUGCAUCGUAAACUGUGUUUCUUGAGU